UUGACGGGGACCCGCACAAGCGGUGGAUGAUGUGGAUUAAUUCGAUGCAACGCGAAGAACCUUACCAGGGCUUGACAUCCCCUGACCGCGUAUGAAAGUACGUUUUCACCCUCGGGUGACAGGGAGACAGGUGGUGCAUGGUUGUCGUCAGCUCGUGUCGUGAGAUGUUGGGUUAAGUCCCGCAACGAGCGCAACCCCUACGUUUAGUUGCUAACGCGUGAAGGCGAGCACUCUAGACGAACUGCCGUUGACAAAACGGAGGAAGGUGGGAUGACGUCAAAUCAUCAUGCCCCUUAUGUUCUGGGCUACACACGUGCUACAAUGGCCGGUACAGACGGACGCAAAGCCGCGAGGUGGAGCAAAUCCUAAAAAGCCGGUCUCAGUUCGGAUUGCAGGCUGCAAUUCGCCUGCAUGAAGUCGGAAUCGCUAGUAAUCGCAGGUCAGCAUACUGCGGUGAAUACGUUCCCGGGCCUU
rnacentral:rRNA from 1 species